CGGACGCCGAGGCCGAGGAGGCGCCGAGAGCGAGUGAGAGCUGCUAGCCAGUUGUCACCUCUCACAGAGAGGUCCACAUUUGCUGAAAUGUAACUCUUAUCUCAUGCACUGGGAGUGAUGAACUUCACUAGGAAAUCAUCGUUCUUUCUGGAAUUAGACGAUAUAAGCUGCAGCUCAGAAUCAGAGCAGUAAGAAAUGUAGCAGCAUGUCAGAGC
rnacentral:lncRNA from 1 species